GAUGAACGCUGGCGGCGUGCCUAAUACGUGCAAGUCGAGCGAACAGAUAAGGAGCUUGCUCCUUUGACGUUAGCGGCGGACGGGUGAGUAACACGUGGAUAACCUACCUAUAAGACUGGGAUAACUUCGGGAAACCGGAGCUAAUACCGGAUAACAUAUUGAACCGCAUGGUUCAAUAGUGAAAGGCGGCUUUGCUGUCACUUAUAGAUGGAUCCGGGCGGUAUUAGCUAGUUGGUAAGGUAACGGCUUACCAAGGCAACGAUACGUAUCCGACCUGAGAGGGUGAUCGCCCACACUGGAACUGAGACACGGUCCAGACUCCUACGGGAGGCAGCAGUAGGGAAUCGGCCGCAAUGGGCGAAAGCCUGACGGAGCAACGCCGCGUGAGUGAUGAAGGUCUUCGGAGCGUAAAACUCUGUUAUCAGGGAAGAACAAAUGUGUAAGUAACUGUGCACAGCGUGACGGUACCUGAUCAGAAAGCCACGGCUAACUACGUG
rnacentral:rRNA from 1 species